GUUUUUGUCCAUUUUUGCUUCAAAUGAUGUAAAUGUCUUAGAAACCUCUUCAAACACGAGCAGUGUAUACUCUGGUCUAAGUUCAGUAAAUUCAGGUGUAUUUUGGGGUUUCAACGCUGAUUGAUGCCAGCUCGAGUGAUGGUUUAAAAGCAGAGGAUGAGCAAAAGGAGGCGAGUUUUCAAUUUUCUCAAUUAUCUUUUCAGAGUGAACUUGCUAUGGAAGUAGUAUCUACUUUUUGGCUUAAUUUUUCUUCAUAUUUUUAUUUAAUGUUUGACAAUGUCUAUUAGCUACUCAUUUUCAUGUUACGAGUUAAUAUGAUUGCAUUUUGUGGUUAUGCCAUGAACUAGGCAGAACUAGCAGUCUCAGGAGAUGGUGCAGGGAUAUUAGGAGCUGCUAGCACCAUUAUCAGCACAUUCGCCCUGGUAUUUGUCGCUGAAUGGGGUGACAAUUCAUUUUUCUCCACAGUAGCACUUGCGGCAGCCUGUUCACCUCUUGGUGUCAUUAGCGGAGCCCUGGCUGGUCAUGGCACCGCAACUCUGGUAACUAUUUCCCGAACCAGUAAUUGGUUCUCACAUAAGCAUAUAUAGUUGCAAAUUCUUUUUGAAUUUUAGAUUCAGAAAAAGAUUUUGGCAGAAGCUAUUAUGUGCCAACUAUAUUGCACCAUUCAGUAGAUAAUUAUUGGUUGCACUUGCAGUAUUUUUUUCUUUUUUCACCAACAAAAAGAUAUUUAAUUUCAGAUCUCUUGUUCAUAUGUUCAUAUGUCAAUAAACCUCUGUGAUUGUCUUUCUUCAAAUUGCUGUUUUGGGCGGUUCUUUACUCGGAACAUUCUUACCGGAAAAGGUAGAUUCGAAUUAACACCAUUACAUUACAUACCAGCAAAAUCGCAUUUCUCCACCUUCUCAACUACUUGAAAUAUUUAUGCAAUCUUUUGGCUUUGAUAGAUCAUUUUUCUUAGUCUCUCGAAGAAAACAUUUUGAAAUUAUCUAGGGGCAAUAUAAGUCAGAACUUAAAACUCGAGUAGCUAUCAAGUUUUCCAAGGCAUAGUAUAAUAAUCUGCUUUUCCGCAUAAUUUGUUCCGAUAAUUCAGUACAAACUUAUUGUUUUAACCCACUUGUCUGUUCAAAAGAUAUCCUUAGUUGCCAAAACCAUCUUAGCCUUUUAAGUUUUAAGAAUCACCUAUGUUUCUUGUUUGUAUUUUAAUUCUAGAAAUGCAUACUAUCCAACUAGCAUGAUACAGAAUCCUAAUCUGUACAUCUUUGAUGUCUAUGUGGUGCAAUGAAAGUUGUUGUAAAGAAGCCAAUUCGAAUCCGACUAGUAAUUUUCAUUUCUGAUAUGACAAAAAUUGCCUAGUCGAGCACGAAAAGUCAGCAACAUAUUGAUAUUUGUACCAUAAAAAUGUGCUUUAGUUGGACCAACAUGAUCAAGCAACAGCAUAAAAUAAUAUCCCAUAGUAUAUCUUGAGGUUGUGGGGCUAUGUAUCUUUUUAGUUUAUUUUCAUAGUUUGAUAUGAUUUCUUGUGCAUUAAGGAUACUAAACUCCCCUUCUUGGACAAGUUAUUGCAUACACCGGAGAUGUUCUGUUCCUCGUCUUUGCCGCUAUAACAUUGGUCGCGAUUGUGAGUUAAAGGUUAGGAGAAGAUUCAAAUUCAUAUGUUUAUAGGAUAUAUUGUACGGAAACUUAUCGAAUUUCAAGUUUGCCGCAUUUCUAAAAACUCUGCAAUUCUAUUUAUAAUCAUUCUUUUUAAGAA